AGCCGAGCGGUAUUGUUUCUUCGGAAUGAGAGAGCGGCGUACGGGUGCGGAACACGUGUGCAACCUGCCUUUAUCUGGGGGAUAGCCUUUCGAAAGGAAGAUUAAUACCCCAUAAUAUAUUGAAUGGCAUCAUUCGAUAUUGAAAACUCCGGUGGAUAGAGAUGGGCACGCGCAAGAUUAGAUAGUUGGUGAGGUAACGGCUCACCAAGUCUACGAUCUUUAGGGGGCCUGAGAGGGUGAUCCCCCACACUGGUACUGAGACACGGACCAGACUCCUACGGGAGGCAGCAGUGAGGAAUAUUGGACAAUGGGUGAGAGCCUGAUCCAGCCAUCCCGCGUGAAGGACGACGGCCCUAUGGGUUGUAAACUUCUUUUGUAUAGGGAUAAACCUACUCUCGUGAGAGUAGCUGAAGGUACUAUACGAAUAAGCACCGGCUAACUCCGUGCCAGCAGCCGCGGUAAUACGGAGGGUGCAAGCGUUAUCCGGAUUUAUUGGGUUUAAAGGGUCCGUAGGCGGAUUUGUAAGUCAGUGGUGAAAUCUCACAGCUUAACUGUGAAACUGCCAUUGAUACUGCAAGUCUUGAGUGUUGUUGAAGUAGCUGGAAUAAGUAGUGUAGCGGUGAAAUGCAUAGAUAUUACUUAGAACACCAAUUGCGAAGGCAGGUUACUAAGCAACACACUGACGCUGAUGG
rnacentral:rRNA from 1 species